rnacentral:rRNA from 1 species
GACGAACGCUGGCGGCGGGCUUAACACAUGCAAGUCGAACGGAAAGGCCCUGCUUUUGUGUGGUGUUCGAGUGGCGAACGGGUGAGUAACACGUGAGUAACCUGCCCUUGACUUUGGGAUAACUUCAGGAAACUGGGGCUAAUACCGGCUAGGAGCUCCUGCUGCAUGGUGGGGGUUGGAAAGUUUCGGCGGAUGGGGAUGGACUCGCGGCUUAUCAGCUUGUUGGUUGGGGAGUGGCUUACCAAGGCUUUGGCGGGUAGCCGGCCUGAGAGGGUGACCGGCCACAUUGGGACUGAGAUACGGCCCAGACUCCUACGGGAGGCAGCAGUGGGGAAUAUUGCACAAUGGGCGGAAGUCUGAUGCAGCAACGCCGCGUGCGGGAUGACGGCCUUCGGGUUGUAAACCGCAUUAGCCUGUGACGAAGCGUGAGUGACGGUAAUGGGUAAAGAAGCACCGGCCAACUACGUG